AUGGGGAAGGAUGAGAAGCUUCGACUAAGGUUCGACUCGAGCGCCAGCGAGAGAACGUUGCCACAGGCAACGGCCCGAAGGGCGAGGCGCUUUAGCGCCGAGUAAUCCUUCCCCCACCACCA
rnacentral:sRNA from 1 species